rnacentral:rRNA from 1 species
GAUGAACGCUAGCUACAGGCUUAACACAUGCAAGUAGAGGGACCGGCGCACGGGGGAGUAACACGUAUCCAACAGGCCCUUUACUCGGGGAUAGCCUUUCGACAGAAAGACUAAUACCCGAUAGAAAGGAAGGGGAUGCGUUCCAUCAGGUUGUUGGUGAGGUAACGGCUCACCAAGCCUUCGAUGGAAAGGGGUUCUGGGAGGAAGGUCCCCCACGUUGGAACGGAGACACGGUCCAAACUCCUACGGGAGGCAGCAGUGAGGAAUAUUGGUCAAUGGGCGCUAGCCUGAACCAGCCAAGUAGCGUGAAGGAUGAAGGCUUAUGGGUCGUAAACUUCUUUUAUAUAAGAAUAUGUAUUAUAUGAAUAAGGAUCGGCUAACUCCGUGCCAGCCGCCGCGGUAAUUC